UCUGUCCCCUGCACCCGGGGCGGGCGGCCGUUAAGACUUGCAGUGAUGUUUAACUCCUCUCCACGUGAACAUCACAGCAAGUCUGUGCUGCUUCCCGUCCCCACGCUGCCUGGGCAGGG
rnacentral:pre_miRNA from 8 species